GAUGAAGAACGUAGCGAAAUGCGAUACUUGGUGUGAAUUGCAGAAUCCCGUGAACCAUCGAGUCUUUGAACGCAAGUUGCGCCUCAAGCCAUUAGGUUGAGGGCACGUCUGCCUGGGCGUCACAUAUCGUUGCCUGAUGCCAGUUUCCUCGUGAUGGGUGACUGUGCAGGGCGAAUGAUGGCUUCCCGUGAGCAUUGUUGCCUCAUGGUUGGUUGAAAAUUGAGUCCUUGGUAGGGAGCGCCGUGAUAGAUGGUGGUUGAGUGACGAACGAGACCCAAUCAUGUGAGACCCCUACCGAAUUUGGCCUUCAUGACCCAUAUGCGUCUUUGGAACGCUCAUGACGAGACCUCAGGUCAGGCGGGGCUACCCGCUGAGUUUAAGCAUAUCAAUAAGCGGAGGA
rnacentral:misc_RNA from 1 species